rnacentral:rRNA from 1 species
AACCUACGGGACGCAGCGGUGGGGAAUAUUGCACAAUGGGGGAAACCCUGAUGCAGCAACGCCGCGUGAGUGAAGAAGUCAUUCGUGAUGUAAAGCUCUAUCCGCAGGGAAGAAAAUGACGGUACCUGAGUAAGAAGCCCCGGCUAACUACGUGCCAGCAGCCGCGGUAAUACGUAGGGGGCAAGCGUUAUCCGGAUUUACUGGGUGUAAAGGGAGCGUAGACGGCCAGACAAGUCUGAAGUGAAAAUCC